rnacentral:rRNA from 1 species
CCCUUAGAUGUCCUGGGCCGCACGCGCGUUACACUGAUGCAUUCAACGAGCUUAUAACCUUGGCCGAGAGGCCUGGGCAAUCUUGUUAACGUGCAUCGUGAUAGGGAUAGAUUAUUGAAAUUAUUAAUCUUGAACGAGGAAUUCCUAGUAAACGCAGAUCAUCAAUCUGCAUUGAUUACGUCCCUGCCCUUUGUACACACCGUCCGUCGCACCUACCGAUUGGAUGGUCCGGUGAAGCCUCGGGAUUGUGGUCCUUGCCGCUUUAUUGUGGCGUGACCGCGAGAACUUGUCUAAACCUUAUCAUCUAGAGGAAGGUGAAGUCGUAACA